rnacentral:rRNA from 2 species
UUCCCUUGAAAACUCGCUGUUGCAGACGUGAUCCACGCCAGCGUGAGUGAUGAAGGCUUUCGGGUCGUAAAACUCUGUUGUUAGGGAAGAACAAGUGCUAGUUGAAUAAGCUGGCACCUUGACGGUACCUAACCAGAAAGCCACGGCUAACUACGUGCCAGCAGCCGCGGUAAUACGUAGGUGGCAAGCGUUAUCCGGAAUUAUUGGGCGUAAAGCGCGCGCAGGUGGUUUCUUAAGUCUGAUGUGAAAGCCCACGGCUCAACCGUGGAGGGUCAUUGGAAACUGGGAGACUUGAGUGCAGAAGAGGAAAGUGGAAUUCCAUGUGUAGCGGUGAAAUGCGUAGAGAUAUGGAGGAACACCAGUGGCGAAGGCGACUUUCUGGUCUGUAACUGACACUGAGGCGCGAAAGCGUGGGGAGCAAACAGGAUAAGAUACCCUGAAUAGUCCCA